rnacentral:rRNA from 1 species
CAGCAGCCGCGGUAAUACGAAGGGUGCAAGCGUUACUCGGAAUUACAGGGCGUAAAGCGUGCGUAGGUGGUGGUUUAAGUCCGUUGUGAAAGCCCUGGGCUCAACCUGGGAAUUGCAGUGGAUACUGGGUCACUAGAGUGUGGUAGAGGAUAGUGGAAUUUCCGGUGUAGCAGUGAAAUGCGUAGAGAUCGGAAGGAACAUCUGUGGCGAAGGCGACUAUCUGGGCCAACACUGACACUGAGGCACGAAAGCGUGGGGAGCAAACAGGAUUAGAUACCCCAGUAGUCCCUGUCUCUUAUAC